rnacentral:rRNA from 1 species
UGAGCAAUCUGCCCUUCUCAUCGGAAUAAGCGUUGGAAACGACGUCUAAUGCCGAAUACGACUUCCUUUCGCAUGAUCGGAGGUGGAAAGCUCCGGCGGAGAAGGACGAGCUCGCGGCCUAUCAGCUAGUUGGUGUGGGUAAUGGCCCACCAAGGCGACGACGGGUAGCCGGCCUGAGAGGGUGACCGGCCACACUGGGACUGAGACACGGCCCAGACUCCUACGGGAGGNAG